AUGAGAAUCCGGAGUGAGCGGCUGUCAGCCGGGAAGCCAAGCGCUGCUCUGCACUGGCUUAGUUGCCUUGUUUCACCAGGACAUCAGACAAGUCCUCUGUGUUCUUCAGCUGCAGAUUCUGGGAAUAGAAAAGUAAAGGGUUCAUCUGGGAAUAAAGCGUCCAGCAGCAAACCCAGGAGAUCCCGCACCAGGGAAACUGCUGUCUCAGGACUCAGAACCACCUGAGGUGUUGAAGUUUUGCUCCAGACCUGCCCAGCGAGCAGCUCGGUGACAACACGCGUCCUCACCUUCUGUGGCUCAGCAACGAGGUUCAGCUCUCCGUACGCCGUGAUAUCGAUAUCGCCGACAACCCCGUUGAACUGAGUCUCUCGACCCUCCGGGUGGGCGGUGAGGUUGAACACCCCGGCCUGGCCCACGAAUUCGAUGAGGUCAUGAUCAUCAUCGCUGUCUGCGGCCUGAUGGAGAAGAGAUCCAGCAGUGAAGCCACUCGGAGACAUUUUUGAGAAGCCAGAGAUGUCCCACACUGAGAUAACAAGAGCACAGCGGGGUGGUGACACCUGCCCAGCUUCCCAAUGGAACAAGUUCUUUCUUAGCCUCUUAGGCUGGACUAAGGCUAAACCCAAGGGAGAUCUAGAGCGCAGGAUAUCAGAAGACUGUUCCACACAGAAAGAUAAGAGACAAGGGCUCUCCUGCUGAGACUUGUCACAAACACACGGAAGGCAGCUCUGGCCUGGUGGAAAGUUGAAGCUUUAUAAGAAAUCUGCUUCAACAAGAACCUGAAACAACUGGGAGUAAAUCUCACUGUGCAGAGAUGACUGCAAUGGCAUUUAGUCCUGUUUUAGGACACAGGGAUAUGGAAAAGGCUGGAAUGGAGUUUCUGCAGCAAACUGGCUGGCAAACACCAAAGGCAGAGAGUUUAGUUGGUAUCGUUAGUGAGGGGACAGAGCAGAGGCUCCUACAGCUUUGUCGUAAUCUGCAGCGCCAGUUCUUUCUCCCUAGUAAUUAAUUCUGGACACGGAUUCUUCCUAAAUUAUUCCAAUCAAAUGCAGGCAACAGAAAGAAAACUUGUUCCUGUUACCUGCAACGCAGGGCAGAAAUUGGAGGUGUCGUUGGGGUUGUUGUAAUCGUACUCGCCGAUCUCUUCUUCAUAAUCCAUCAAGCUGUUCGGCUUAGACGUCCUGCAGACCUACGGAGACAAAACCGGGGUGAGGAAAGGAAAAAACCACUAAAUCCUUCCCCUUGUUCCUUCAUCCAUCCCCAGCCUGCUCUUCCUCCUCCUUCUUACCUUAACAGAAGGUUUGAGGAACAGCUGGACCAUGUUGUUGGGGUCAUAGUUAAAGUCUGGGGGAAGUGUGGUGCUCCUCACAUUCUGGCCUUCCAAAAUGGAUUUGGCAAGAGUUACCACUGCCUGGGGAAAGUAAGAAAUGCCGUUACCCACGAGCUAUCCACUACUCGAAGGAUUAAUGUGCAAAUAAGUGGUCUGAACACAGAUUUUUGUCUGAAAGGGGACAAGUUCUGAGGUGUCUCCAAAGAGGAAACCCACACUGGUCCAGUCAGUGCAGCCAGUGGUUUCUGAGCAGCGUCCCGGGACCUGCAGCAUCUCUUGGGCUGCCAGGGCACAAGCCAGGAAGAAUCCAGCCUGAUUCUCCACCCCAAGAGUCAGCAUCUGCUGCAGGAGGGAAGGAAACUGUCAGGGCUUGGUGACAGGGCUGACACGGACUGCAGGAGAAGAAAGCGCUCAGGAAAAGAAAUUGCAGGGUAUCAAUGGCCCCACAGCCUGGUGUAUCUUGGAGAUCGCUUUGGAGGAUCAGAGUUUGGCAGUGUGGGCGUUUCUGAAGAAGGGAGAGGGACGAUGUGCAAGUCAAAGAGGAGCUUGCUGUGGCAGCCUUGGGUGCGCAGCCCCGUGAGGAAAAUGCCGGCUGUGCUGCAUUCAUCAAACGAUGC